GACAGAGGGUGCGAGCGUUGUUCGGAAUUACUGGGCGUAAAGCGCGCGCAGGCGGAUCCUGCAAGUCGGAAGUGAAAUGUGGCUGCUCAACGGCCACGCUGCUUCCGAUACUGCGGAUCUGGGGACCGGUAGAGGCUGGUGGAAUUGCAGGUGUAGCGGUGGAAUGCGUAGAGAUCUGCAAGAACACCCGUGGCGAAGGCGGCCAGCUGGGCCGGUACUGACGCUGAGGAGCGAAAGCAUGGGGAGCGAACAGG
rnacentral:rRNA from 1 species